rnacentral:rRNA from 1 species
UACGUAGGUGGCAAGCGUUGUCCGGAUUUAUUGGGCGUAAAGGGCGCGCAGGCGGUCCGUUAAGUCCGAGGUGAAAUCUCCCGGCUCAACUGGGAGGGGUCUUCGGAUACUGGCGGACUUGAGGAGUGCAGAGGUGAGUGGAAUUCUCGGUGUAGUGGUGAAAUGCGUAGAUAUCGGGAGGAACACCAGUGGCGAAGGCGGCAUCCUGGACCGGCAUUGACGCUGAGGAGCGAAAGCCAGGGGAGCAAACGGG